GAUGAACGCUGGCGGCGUGCCUAAUACAUGCAAGUCGAGCGAACAGAUGAGAAGCUUGCUUCUCUGAUGUUAGCGGCGGACGGGUGAGUAACACGUGGGUAACCUACCUAUAAGACUGGGAUAACUCCGGGAAACCGGGGCUAAAACCGGCUAAUAUUUUGAACCGAAUGGUACAAUAGUGAAAGACGUUUUAGGCUGUCACUAUAGAUGGACCAGCGCCGUAUUAGCUAGUUGGUAAGGUAACGGCUUACCAAGGCGACGAUACGUAGCCGACCUGAGAGGGUGAUCGGCCACACUGGAACUGAGACACGGUCCAGACUCCUACGGGAGGCAGCAGUAGGGAAUCUUCCGCAAUGGGCGAAAGCCUGACGGAGCAACGCCGCGUGAGUGAUGAAGGUCUUCGGAUCGUAAAACUCUGUUGUUAGGGAAGAACAAAUUUGUUAGUAACUGAACAAGUCUUGACGGUACCUAACCAGAAAGCCACGGCUAACUACGUGCCAGCCGCCGCGGUAA
rnacentral:rRNA from 1 species